rnacentral:rRNA from 1 species
UACGGGAGGCAGCAGUGAGGAAUAUUGGUCAAUGGGCGAGAGCCUGAACCAGCCAAGUAGCGUGAAGGAAGACUGCCCUAUGGGUUGUAAACUUCUUUUGUAUGGGAAUAAAGUCCACUACGUGUAGUGGUUUGUAUGUACCUUACGAAUAAGCAUCGGCUAAUUCCGUGCCAGCAGCCGCGGUAAU